CGGGGAGAGCAGGCAGUCGCGCUAAUAAUUGUUAGUGAGGAAAGUCCGAACACCGCAGAGCAGAACGCUUGAUAACAUCAAGGCGGUAAUGUACAUCGGGAUAACACCCGAAAUACAAAGCCGACGGAUAGUGCAACAGAAAAUAUACCGCUGUUAAUCAGUAAGGGUGAAAUGGUGCGGUAAGAGCGCACCGCAAUUGUAGCGAUACAGUUGGCAGUGUAAACCACGUUCGGUGCAAAACCAAAUAGGAUACAACGCUUUUUAAGCAUCCGGUUGCUCGGCGGAGAUGUUGUAUUGGGUAGGUUGCAUGAAUUAUACAGUAAUGUAUAAUCAAGAUGAAUGAUUGCCUCCGUUGUGAAACACCAAUGCAGACAGAAUUCGGCUUAUCGCUCUCUUCGUUUA
rnacentral:RNase_P_RNA from 1 species